AAUUUUAUAGUUAAUUAAAUAAUAAUAAAUUGCAAAUUUAUAGUUAAUAUGAAUAUAUUUAAAAUUU
rnacentral:tRNA from 1 species